AUUUUUUCUUGACCGUUUUCUUGAGAGCUGCAUACAGGGCUUUAGUAUCCAGCUCUUAAGAAAAUGCACAAGAAAAUGUUCGUGUUCUUUCUUCUGCUUGAAAUAGUAGUAGGCCAGUAAUUUUGACGUUUGAUAAUGCACCGUGAAUAGUAAACAAUGGCAGAAGAAGAGCGGUAAAAAGUAAACAAAAGAAACAAUCUUUUGCCUAUGACCAAUUUGAGAUAGUUUUCAGUAUCCGAAAUGGAAGAUUACGAGGCUCCACUGGCAAGCCUCCUGAAAUUAGGGGAAACAACAAAAAUGUAAACAAACAAAAGGAAAUGUCAAAAAAAGCAGUCACUGACAACG